GAUGAAGAACGCAGCGAAAUGCGAUAAGUAAUGUGAAUUGCAGAAUUUAGUGAAUCAUCGAGUCUUUGAACGCACAUUGCGCCCCCUGGUAUUCCGGGGGGCAUGCCUGUCCGAGCGUCAUUGCCGCCCUCAAGCACGGCUUGUGUGUUGGGCCCCCGCCCCCCGGCUUCGGGGGGCGGGCCCGAAAGGCAGCGGCGGCACCGCGUCCGGUCCUCGAGCGUAUGGGGCUUCGUCACCCGCUCUGUAGGCCCGGCCGGCGCCCGCCGGCGACCCCAAUCAAUCUUUCCAGGUUGACCUCGGAUCAGGUAGGGAUACCCGCUGAACUUAAGCAUAUCAAUAAGCGGAGGA
rnacentral:misc_RNA from 1 species